UACGUAGGGUGCGAGCGUUAAUCGGAAUUACUGGGCGUAAAGCGUGCGCAGGCGGUUUUGUAAGCCAGAUGUGAAAUCCCCGGGCUUAACCUGGGAAUGGCAUUUGGGACUGCAAGGCUCGAGUGCGGCAGAGGAGACUGGAAUUCCUGGUGUAGCAGUGAAAUGCGUAGAUAUCAGGAGGAACACCGAUGGCGAAGGCGGCAUCCUGGACCGACAUUGACGCUGAUGAGCGAAAGCUAGGGGAGCAAACGGG
rnacentral:rRNA from 1 species